rnacentral:misc_RNA from 1 species
AACGCACCUUGCGCUCCUUGGUAUUCCGAGGAGCACGCCUGUUUGAGUGUCGUGUAAUUCUCAACCUACAAGUCCUUUUGGGACUUUGUUAGGCUUGGAUAUUGGAGGAUUGUAUUGCCGGCUCGAACGAGUUGGCUCCUCUUAAAUGCAUUAGCUCAGUCCCUUGCGGAUCGGCUCCCAGUGUGAUAAGUUCUUUACGCUGCGACCGUGAAGCGUCUUACGACGAAGCUUCUAAUGGUCUCUUGAAAGUGAGACAAACAUUAACACUUUGACAUCUGACCUCAAAUCAGGCGGGACUACCCGCUGAACUUAA